rnacentral:tRNA from 1 species
UAGGGAGACCUACCCAACUUUGAAAUCUAUAGCAAAGAUUGUUGUAGUGACAAAGAAGGUCUACUCUAGGUCGGUCGCAGAACUUGAGGAGUGCUUUCAAACUAUAAAUUUGGUUCAAUUGGGCUAUUAGCUCAGGUGGUUAGAGCGCACCCCUGAUAAGGGUGAGGUCCCUGGUUCGAGUCCAGGAUGGCCCACCUGAAAGUAAUUGGUAAUUAGUAAUGCAUAAUUUGUAAUUAAUGACGAAUUAAGAAUUACGAAUUAUCUUGGGGGUUUAGCUCAGUUGGUAGAGCGCCUGCUUUGCAAGCAGGAUGUCAGCGGUUCGAGUCCGCUAACCUCCACCUGUAGGGCAAGCUAGAAAAGCAAAGGAUGAAAUUCAGCAACAUGACAGAGUAAUGUCAGACUGCUGGGUGAAAUUCCAGCCAGAACCUUGAAAACUGCAUAGUAACGCGAAAAUAGCAGGCAGACACAGACAUUUUGGAGUGAUGAGUGCGCUGGUGCUGAGUAAAAUCAGUGCAAAGUCAUGAGUCACAACGCCAAAAAUUGGUGUUUGCAAGUUUGAAACCAAUUGUGAAGU